AUUGAACGCUGGCGGCAGGCUUAACACAUGCAAGUCGAGCGGGGUGAUGGUGCUUGCACUAUCACUUAGCGGCGGACGGGUGAGUAAUGCUUAGGAAUCUGCCUAUUAGUGGGGGACAACAUCUCGAAAGGGAUGCUAAUACCGCAUACGUCCUACGGGAGAAAGCAGGGGAUCACUUGUGACCUUGCGCUAAUAGAUGAGCCUAGUUCGGAUUAGCUAGUUGGGGGGGUAAAGGCCUACCAAGGCGCCGAUCUGUAGCGGGUCUGCGAGGAUGAUCCGCCACACUGGAACUGAGACACGGCCCAGACUCCUACGGGAGGCAGCAGUGGGGAAUAUUGGACAAUGGGGGGAACCCUGAUCCAGCCAUGCCGCGUGUGUGAAGAAGGCCUUAUGGUUGUAAAGCACUUUAAGCGAGGAGGAGGCUCUUUUGGUUAAUACCCAAGAUGAGUGGACGUUACUCGCAGAAUAAGCACCGGCUAACUCUGUGCCAGCCGCCGCCGUAA
rnacentral:rRNA from 1 species